CCCCCAGCCUCGCUGCCGCCUUGCAGUUUGAUCUCAGACUGCUGUGCUAGCAAUCAGCGAGACUCCAUGGGCGUAGGACCCUCCAAGCCAGAUGAGGAGACGGAAGUCCAGAGGGUUUCAAUCGCUUGCCCAAAGUCACAGAGUCGGGAAGUGCAGAGCCAGGCCACUGCCUGGUUUUAAAUUCUGGGUGGAAAUGCAACGUGCCGGUCAACAUGGUGUGCUGAUGUGGAGGAAAGCUGGGAUUCCUUUUCUCAUUUGAAAAAUGUUGAAACAGAUGGAUAUAAAAAAAGCAAAAUGUCUUGUUCCACGUUUCCAAAAGAGGAAGUAUGAAAGGCGUAAUUGAAAUUCAAAACGUUUGGUCUGAAAAUCCUACAUCCUUUCUCCUAACAACCGUGAAUUCUUACUAAAGGAUAAGGCAUUAAAGCCUUUUUUGAACCAUCUUUCUCUUAUGGAGGAACACAGCCUAUUAAACCACACCAGCUACUAACUGCCUGCUAGGGUCUGAAAGUGUCCUCCCAGCAGUCAUGUCUCCAAGGUGAUGGCAUUAGGACGUGGGGCCUGUCGGAGGUGAUUAAGUCACUAGAGUGGAGCUCUUAUGAAUGGGAUUAGUAACAACUUUCCUAAGAAGAGGCCAGAGAGCUAGCUCUUUCCACCAGGAGAGGAUACAGGAGAAGUCAGCCAUCUGCAACCUGGAAGAGGGUCCUCACCAGAACUCAACCAUGCUGGCACUCUGAUCUCGGACUUCCAGCCUUCAGAACGAUGUUUCUGCCCUCUGGGGCCAAUUCCACCACUCCCUGGAAAGUGAUGUGAUGACCCUGGGCUUGAGUCCAAAGAACAUAGGAGAGUUUUGGCAGGUCGAUGGUGUGUUGGUGCCAACCCACUUAGAGCGAAAACUGUUUAAACCAGUUUUAAUUGGAUUUCCCUCACUUGCAACAAGGAAGACCUGAAUAAUAUUGCUUCUGUCUGUAUGUCCAAAUACUUUCAUUUUUCAAGAAGCAAUGUUAUACCAACGUCAGAACAAAGGAACACUUUAUGCUGAUCC
rnacentral:lncRNA from 10 species